rnacentral:misc_RNA from 1 species
AGGUUAGAAUGUGGCUAUGUGCAAUAAUAUGUUUGGUUUGUGUUUCGAAGAACUUUUUUUUUUUUAUGGUCUUUUAUGAUUUGCAUUUUACAGAAUUUUUUUUGUAAUUGUUUGUCUUAUGGAGCAAUGUGUAUCAUAAUUAUAAGUUUUCUUUUCUAUGGUUGUAAGUCUAUCAUGUUAUUUCAGUGAAUAGUUCAUGUGUUUUCUGAGUACUCUUUACAAUUGCAAUCCAAAGAAGUUGUAAAACAGCAUACUAGUUGGAACUCAUGCAACAAAUGAAAGCAAUCAAUUGAAUCUCAUUUUGUGACUUUUGAAAUUCUAAUUUAUACUACCCAACAAUUUUAUUUUCUUCAUUCUUGAUGUCCCUUGUCUCUCACCUUGUUUGUAAGCAUUUACAAAAAAAAAAGAAAUUAAGUUUAUUCUUUAAACGUAUAUUUGAAGUGAGCUACCAGAUAUUAUGGAGAUAAGAAUAUCCUCUGGAGCUACAUUGGGUCGUGAAAAUUCCUUCUAUAUUCAUGCUUGUGAAACAAUCUACCAUAUUGUUGGUAGCUCACUUUAGUAGCUCACUUCAAAUUUAAGUUUAAAGAAUUAAUUUAAUGUAUAUUUAAUGCUUGUACUCGUGAUAUAUUGAGUACUUAAAAAACUUAGAAUCCAGUGGGGCUUAGCAAACUUUUCAAUGUUUUGCUUAGCAUUAGAGUCCAUCCAGGUGGAAAACUGCUUGGUUACAUAUUAUAGCUUGGUUAUACUUACCUUGCUUUUGUCAUUUGGUUACCAUCAGGUAAGGCCAGCCUCUGCAUGAUGGAAAGCCAGUGUGGUAGUUUCCCUCCUUCCAAGGCUAUUUAGGAACUCUGAAACUUGGGCACUGGACCCUCCUAGUAUUUGGGUCUUUUGUUUAGUCUUAUGUUUGCCCAUUGCCAGUAAAUUUAUUUGUUUUGAUGCAAGUGUCAAAAUAUUCAUUUACUUCCAUUUUUUUUUUCUUUUGUUCUAUAUUACAUCCUUUUGCUUGACUAAUAAUUUUCCACAUUUAGGUCUAUCCAACAAUGAGAUCUGCAUUUGUUGAUAUCAUCAGAACUCGUGGCUUUAGAGGCUUAUAUAAUGGACUAUCGCCAACACUGGUUGAGAUUGUUCCUUAUGCUGGCCUUCAGUUUGGCACCUAUGAUACUUUUAAACGUUGGACCAUGGUACUAGUUCAGUCUCUUUUUUGAGUCAGACAUUCUUCUCUAUUCUUCUCUAAUGAUGGAUAAUGUCUUUUAGAAUAAGGGAAACAUCCUCAGGGCAUUGAUUCAAUAAGAUGACACCAUAAUAUAUUGAUAUAGCAAUUAGACCUUCCUUUAAGUCAGGUUAUCUACUUUUUUCUGGUUCACUCAUGAAUUCUUGAUUCACACAUCUUCUGAAGCUUCAAAUUCUGGGUUAAGCUUUUUCUUACUGUUCUAGUAGAAGUUGAGAUGUGCUUAAACGAAUCAAAAUUUUUUAAAUUGUUUAGAUAGUUUUUCAUUUUUUAUAAAGGAUUGUGUUAAAGCUUUUCUGGAGACACACCCUUUCAUUUCUAUAAAUGGUAGCCAGGCACAUGAUGGCACCAGAGAAGCUGCACCAUACUCAUAAAUUUCAUUGGCUAGCCUUAAAUUCUGAUUUACAUUUUAAGUGUUGUGACUGUAGUGAAAUGGUUAAGCAAUUAAAUAAGUUUCAUUCUUCUGUUUAUAAGAAAGGAGUGUUUCUUCUGUUUAGAAGAAAGGAGUGUUUCUUCUAAGAAACUUUAAAACAAGGUUUGAGAGUGCUGCAAGUACACUGUGUGUGUGUUGGUGGAUGUUUCCUUC